UUAGGAAUCUUCCCCAAUGGGCGCAAGCCUGAGGGAGCGACACUGCAUGAAGGAUGAAGGUUUUCGGAUUGUAAACUUCUGAACCUGGGACGAAUAAUGACGGUACCAGGGUAAUAGCACCGGCUAACUCUGUGCCAGCAGCCGCGGUAAUACAGAGGGUGCGAGCGUUAUCCGGAAUUACUGGGCGUAAAGGGCGUGUAGGUGGUUUGUUAAGUUCGAUGUUAAAUACUGAAGCUCAACUUCAGCAUGGCGUUGAAUACUGGCAGGCUAGACGACUGGAGAGGCAAGUAGAAUUACCAGUGUAGCGGUGAAAUGCGUAGAUACUGGUAGGAAUACCCAUUGCGAAGGCAGCUUGCUAGACAGUUUGUGACACUCAGACGCGAAAGUGUGGGGAGCAAAC
rnacentral:rRNA from 1 species